rnacentral:rRNA from 1 species
UUACACAGCCAUAUCACCCUGCAGCCCAAGACUGGUUGCCCACUGAAGCUAAGCAGGGUUGAGCCUGGUUAGUACCUGGAUGGGAGACCUCCUGGGAAAACUAGGUUGCUGCUGGAAG